rnacentral:lncRNA from 1 species
UAAUAGAUAAGGUGGGGCCCGUGGCACUGUCGGACCAAGUGGUGGUGGCAAUGAAUCAUAAGGCGUCUCAUCCUGAACUACAAACUGUCUACUCUGCUGACUGUCUAUCUCCUGUCUGAGACUGGCCGAGGCCUCCUGAAUAAAAGCCAUGGCGGUCGUGAACUGAUCAACUGUGACAACCCGCUGAUCCAUGUCUGAUCUCUCGAAAAAACAAACUAAGCUCCCCUCUACUCUGAUCCAAGAUGGUAAAUCCACACUAAGAAUGAGAAACCAAUCCUGAAGAGCAUGAAGCACGAGAUAGAAGAAAUGUUAGUCUGAACUGGAAUGAGCAAGGCAUCAAAGUGUAAAAGGACUGUCCGACUGUAACUCAAACCCGUAUUGAUCUCUGUGCACUCUCAACUGGAGACUAAAAGAGGGAAUAAUGAAUCCAAAUUAUGACCAAAGAGGCUCUAAAGGCCCUCAAAUGCACCCACAUGUAGGGAGAGAAUCCUAGUCGAAUGAUCUAAAGCUCAACCUACAAGGUCAAGGUGGCUCUAAAAGGAUAAGGAUAGACUUUAAAAGAUCCCUAGCAGAAAUGAUCAUACCCUCCGGCGGUACGCAACCCUCUGCACGCCUCCGAAGAGACGGGGCUCUUCCAUGCAAGGUGGUCAUCACCUCCACACAUGCACUACCUCGACAUCCCAGGGGGUUUCCUAUGGUGAAACCUCUCAAACUCUCAACGCUCAAUAGUCAACUAGAGUGCAUAGUGAUGGUGUGGGUGCAUCCGAAAACCCUAAGAAGCUAGAGCAGAGAAGAAACACACUGGUCGCACAAAUAUCCGUGAAACCUAGCUCCGGGCUAUACAGGUCUUCAAUGAUCGGACUCCAAUCGACAUCAAAGUGUCGCUCUCCUCCAGAAUGCUCCCGUACAUCGAUAUAGCCCGUCGCUAGACCCUACUCCUAAUCUCUGGCUCGGUCAGAGAGCAAACACACAGAAGGUCUCACACUUGCAAUAAUGAGAACCGAGAUAAGAGGAAUGACCGAAACCAAGAGAUUUGGAGGUAAGGGGAUAGAAGUGCGGCCCACAUGAACAAGCGACAUGCAAUCAAGCAGAGGAAUGACGGUCAUGCAACAUACAGUCAGGCAGAGUAUAGGAUACAUCACUCAUGUCCACACACAAACUAUGAUAGUCAAAAUGAAUAGUGAUACAGACAUCAUGCUCAAAGACGAUCGAGAGAAUAUAUGACCCAGAGAAUCAACCUGUCAAGCUGAGUGAUAUACAGUGGUGAGUGUAUGCAUGUGAAGUGAUCAGAAUAAUCAUGCCAAAAUCAUAAUCAAUACGCUAAGCAAUACAAUAAGAUCAAUCAGCAAUAAUCCAGCAUGUCAAAAUCUCAAAUGAAUAUGACAUCUAAACAUGCAUCAAGAAAUCCUCAAUUUGCAAUCAAGAGAUGAGCAUCCACUGAUCGUCCAAUCGAAUGCCACGUUUGCUUCACUUUAAGUUCAAGCUUGACCCUCUAAAUCAUCCCCGGUGAAGUCGCCAUUUUGUGGACCCUACAUUUCGCCUCAUGCGUUCCCCACUCGAUGGCGAGCUCGAUUUUGUUCGAAAAAUUGAUUUAUAUUGAUUAAAAAAAAUGACUUGGAGUCGCCACUUAUUUUUGUUUUAUUUUUAAAGGGUAAACAAAAUAAGAAAGAAAAACCCUAAGUGUGACUCCUUAUUUUGGAAAAGGUUAUCUGCGAAAAACCGGAUCGGGUUCGGGGGUCAGGUUACUUAUCAGGAAGGUAUGGUAAAAACCGUAGCACCCUUCUAAGUCCCUAAAAACGGGUCUCUACUAAUAAAAUGAAGCUAACAUGGCAAUUGAUGAGGAAAUCAAUGAAUACCCGGAACUAUCAUGCACAUAUGAGAAUCGAAGCAUGCAUAUAGAAAUACCAGAAUGGGAAUAGAUACGUACCUGGGCGAUGAGCCACAAUAAGCUUAUAAAAAAAGUGAGGUUAAUGCACAAUUAAGAAAUAAUUUCGAGCAUGUCAUAGAGCAGAAUAACAUCAAUCAUGCAUGUCAAUUGAAUUAAACAAACAACUAAUCAAUCAAUCAUAAGGAAAUCACAUAUGUUGGGCCCCCCACCAAAGCCCGAUCUAUUUUGCAUGAAUUAAUUCCGUAAACUCCAUUACUCGGAAUUACAGAAUUUAAAUUCAUGCUUAUUUUAAAUCAUUUUAAAAACAUGAAAAAUUCGGAAGUUGCUCGCCGAAAAGAAGAUGGCGGCCAAAUUUAUUGAAAAUGGGAUUUUGGGAACCUCAAGAAAAUGCUCUAAGGAUGGAGAAAAAGGUGGAACGUCUGCCGGACAGAAUUCCGGAUGCGAGAUAUCCAGGGAAGGUUGAACGUCGGCUGGACAGAAUUCCAGAUGUGAGAUAUCUGGGGAAGGUGGAACGUCGACCGGGUAGAAUUCCGGAUGUGAGAUAUCCGGGUGGAAUGUUGGCGGAGAGGAAUUCCGGGUGUGAGACAUCCGGAUGGAAUGGCGGGUGUGAGCAACUUCCGAAUUUUUCAUGUUUUUAAAAUGAUUUAAAAUAAGCAUGAAUUUAAAUUCUGUAAUUCCGAGUGAUGGAGUUUACGGAAUUAAUUCAUGCAAAAUAGAUCGGGCUUUGGUGGAGGGGCCCAACAUAUGUGAUUUCCUUAUGAUUGAUUGAUUGUUUGUUUAAUUCAAUUGACAUGCAUGAUUGAUGUUAUUCUGCUCUAUGACAUGCUCGAAAUUAUUUCUUAAUUGUGCAUUAACCUCACUUUUUUUAUAAGCUUAUUGUGACUCAUCGCCCAGGUACGUAUCUAUUCCUAUUCUGGUAUUUCUAUAUGCAUGCUUCGAUUCUCAUAUGUGCAUGAUAGUUCCGGGUAUUCAUUGAUUUCCUCAUCAAUUGCCAUGUUAGCUUCAUUUUAUUAGUAGAGACCCGUUUUUAGGGACUUAGAAGGGUGCUACGGAUUUUAUCGUACCUUCCUGAUAAGUAACCUAACCCCCGAAUCCGAUCCGGUUUUUUGCAGAUAACCUUUUCCAAAAUAAGGAGUCACACUUAGAGUUUUUCUUUCUUAUUUUGUUUACCCUUUAAAAAUAAAACAAAAAUAAGUGGCGACUCCAAGUCAUUUUUUUUAAUCAAUAUAAAUCAAUUUUUCGAACAAAAUUGAGCUCGCCAUCGAGUGGGUAACACAUGAGGCGAAAUGCGGGGUCCACAUAUACAUUUUUUUACCUAAUAAAAUAUAAAAUAUUAAUAUAUUUAUAUUUAUCUGUUAUUUAAUUUGAUAAAAUAAAACAUGAAAAAUAAAUAUUAAUGAUUUUAGAUUUCUUUAUAUUUUAAAUAUUAGAUUUCUUUAUAUAAUUAUAUAUUUUAAUUUAUUAUAAUUUUUUACAAUAUAUAUUAGUUAUUAUUUUUUUAUUUAGUAUUAUAUUAUAAUUAUUCUUUUUAUUUUUAAGAAUAAGGUUAAAUUAGUUUUUAUUUCCUUUUAUUAGAUCUAUUUUAGUCUAAUAGAAUUAUAUUUUUUUUAAAGAAUGUUUAUAAUAAGAAAUCUUAACUUUUCUUUUUUCUUUUUAAAUCUUUUUGGAUUCCACAUUACUCAAUUGAAAGUUUUGAACUACAGUAAGCUCUAAUCCAACUCUAACAGGGUUAAUGAUUUAAUAUGACUUAAUAAUUUAAUUUGAGUCAUUAAAUAGAUAAGUAUUUUGGUAAAAUAAUUUAAUAUUAUAAUUUAAACUCAAAAAUAAUUUUAAGUAGUUAAAAUAAUUAUAUCAAAUCUCUUUUGCCUCAUUUGGCUAUAUUUAGUAAAAGUAUAUUUUACAAUCAUAACUUUGCAUUCAUAACUCAUCUUUUAUAGUAAAUAUUUUUGUAAUUAUAUUAUGCAUUUAUAAUAUUUUAAAUAUAGAUGUUUAAAAAAUAAAUUAUUAUUUAAGAUUAAUUAUAAAUAAAUAUUAAUUAAAGUUAAUAAAAAUAAAUAUGUUAAUUUGAUUAUUUAAAAUAAAUUUUAAAUUAAUUUUAUCAAAUAAUUUUGAUACUUAAAGUAAAAAUUAAGUAUUAAGUUUUAAAAACAAUUUAAGAAUGUUUUAACUUAAAAUUAAAGUAAUUCAUUAAGUAAUAAAUAUUAAAUUUUAUCAAAUAUCUUCUAAGAUUUGAAUCAGCCUUUUAAUAUGUUGGAUUAAUAUUUUUUCUUUACAUAUUUUAGAUUCAUAUUUAAAUAUCAUAAGAUGUUUGUUAUAUUCAAGUUGUAGUAUUAAUUAGAACAAUAAAUUGAUAGCGUUAAAUAAGAUAAAAUUAAUUAGGUACGAAUGAAGUUAUUUAGAGUGUAUAUAAAUUGGUCCAACUAGGUGGCAUUGAAUUAAUUUGAGUUGAAAAUUGAGCAUGGUAGAUAGGAUCAAUCAGAAUUGUUAAUGAUUCAAAUGAGGUUUGUAUCGGUAACUAGAUUAAGUUGGACUAGGAAAAAAAAGCGACCUAAGUAUUAGAGUAAGAAUAAGUUUUAAAGGAGAUAGGAUUGUCGGGUUUAUAUUAAUCCAACCUAAUAAAGGUUAAUCAUCCAAAAGGGGAAGUGAAUUUGGAUGAUGAUUACUUUUAACAAUUUUUAUAAAUAUGAAUACAAGUGACAAUUUAAACAAUAAUAUAAUAAUACAAUACAAAAAUAAUUACACAUAAAACAAAGAGAAAAAUAAUAGAGAAAUACAAACCACGAUUUUGUAAGUGUGGUGUAACCUAGCCUACAUUCACCAUUCUCAAGUUUCAAUUAAAGGUUGAGGGUCUACCAUAUUAAAGCUUGCGAACCAAACCCUUAAGCUUUAUACUUGAAUUAACUAGCUUCAAAGGACUUUUACAAUUCUCCUCAAAAGAUAUCUUAUUUUUGAACUCUUCAAGUGAUAUCUCACAUUUAACAAACCUCUUUAAGUGAUACUUCACAUUUAAGAAACCCUAAGUAAUACCUUAUACUUAGAUUCUUUCCUUACAAGGUUUACAAAUGGUAAAUAUGAAAUAUUAGUUACAAAUUUGUUCUCAAAUGAUUAUAAUUCGAUCUAAAAUUGAAAAGUGCACUAAGAAUAAAAUGCAACUUUAAGUUCAACGCACUCAAAAUUCUUUUCUAAGGCUCAAUAGAUAUUGAACGAGAGUUUUGGAACAUUUUUCAAUGCAAUAUAUGAAAUAUAAAGCCUUUAUGUAAGAGUUUGAAACUCAAACUAGUUACUAUGCAUAGUUAGGCUUGAUUGGUUGACCUAGGCAAUAGACUAAUUCACUAGUUGCUCAUUGGUUAGUAGAGUAGCACAACAAGAGACUGCUAGAUUUUGCAGCUUAAUCGAUUAAGUGAACAAUCUAAUCAGUUGAGUGAAUAGUUCAAUCAAAGCUCAGCCUAUGGCAUUGCCAAAGUAUUUUGGCAAACCACCCCAAUGGAUUGACCAUGUGAUUGACUAUUUCUCUCCCUAUUUUUGAGAUCUUGAAAAAUAUACAAGUUUGAACACAAAAACAUGGGAAACAAACGGGCUAUAAACUCGUUAUUUUGAAAAACGUUUAUAAAAAUACUCUUAACCAAUUUAAGUUUAAGUUUUUCUUUAAGACAAAUUUCAUCCAAUUUGCAAAAAUAUAAAACUGAUUUGGACACUUGAAUAAAUGAAGGUGCUUAAAUAAAAAAUAUGAAAUGUAAUCUUAUCUUAAUUAGUGUCCCCACAUUAUUACAAUAAAAAUAUUAAAGAUAGAACUUAAUAAACCUUCUAUUGACAUCAACAUCCUUCUUCUUCUUGAUUUCUUUUUUAUUAUAUAGUUUUUUUCUUUAUAGUUCAAUGAAAUCUUCUAGCCUAGCUCACUUAAUAUACAAUGGAAAUCUAAACUACCUAGUUUUGUUAUCACCGGAAUAUAGGGAUACACCAAACUUUGAUCAAAUAGAGAUGACUUGUGUGUAAUAAAUGAGAAAUGACCCUGCCUAGUUUGAAUGUUAACCCCACAUUAAGGAUCUAACUCAAGAUUGUAUGUCAUUCAAAUGUUUGUGUUAUUUUCAAGAUGGCGUCAUGAUUACUCUAAAAAUCAAGUCUUAGCACUCAAGGAAUUCGAGAAAGCCUUAUGCUACUCCCUAUCUCUCCAACAUUAAUCAUGUGAAGUCUAUUCCUUAAUGAAGUAAUACGAACACUGAAAAGGAAAGAAGGAGAGGAUAAGGGAAAAAGAAGAAAAGAGAAGGGAAAAAGAAGAAAAAGAUUCUAGUUCUUGACCUUGUGAGAAAGAGAUCAUGACUCAACCAUCAUAAGGGCUAUUGGAGGUGAUCCCUAAUCAUCCUUCUUGUUCUAGGUGUUGAACUAUUGGAGGGGAUGUUAGGGUUAAAUCCCUAAUCAUUUUUCCUAUUGCAAGUGUUAUAGCUACAUCAAAAGUAGGAAGAUCAACUUAGGGAAUGCAAAAGAUUAUUCAACAUAAUAAGAAGUUUGAUUACUUGUUGAACAUACAAUCUAAAUUGAGAUACUUAUAAAGUUAAUAUUAAUAAGUUCUAAUUUGAAAGUUGAUAAGAUUCAAAAUAUAAUGGAGAGAUGAUUGUCUUACUUGUAAAAAAAUGUUGAACAAGCCUUGGACUUUAUUGAGCUUGUACUCACUUGAGAACCUUAUGUUGUCUUAAAAUUUGUUUAUAAUUGCUAUCUUGGAAGUAAUUCAUUUAUAUUUGAAAAAAUAAAAACCUAAUCCAACUUUUGCUAGCUUUAAAAUUACUUAUUUAUAUUUCAAUAAAAAAUCUCAUUCCAAUCCAACUUGUUUCCUUAUUAAUAAAGGAGGUUUGUUGAACUUAAAUUUGAUACUUGUAAUAUUUAGUCAAGCUUGGGUAGGAUCGCAACUUUAUGGUGGUUCAAGUAAUCAUCUCAAGUAUAAUUCAAACUCAAAACCCUCGACUCUAUCUCCAACCAUUCUUAAUGUAAACUAAACCUCACUUCAUUUUUUUAAAGGUUAAAACUUGAGUCAAGCUAUCUUGGGUUGGACUUAUUUUUCUUGAACUUGAUCUAGAUUCAACCCAACAUGAAUUAGGCUUAAAUUACUCAAGCUAUCUCAAGUUGGAUAUGUUGGAUUUGGAAUGUGUCAAGUCCAAGCUCUUGGCUGGGUAUGUUUUUAUUUAGAAAUACAUAAAAAUAAAAUAAUAUAUAAAUUACUGAAUUAUAAAAACAUCGAAUCCAUUUCAUAUUAGACUUAUAUUGCUUGAACCUUGGCGAAUUAGGCAUAAAUUGCAUAGGCUAAUUCAAAUUGAACAUCCAUUUAGAUUGUGCAAGUCCAUGUAUUAGGUCGGGUACAAAAUGUUUUUCUUUAUAAAUAUAUAAAAUAAAAUAAAAUAAAACAAUAUAUGAAUAAUAGUUUUAUUAGGGAUGAUAAUUCCUAAUUAUAAAAUCGUGUUUGUAUCAUGUCAAAACUUAAAUUCUUGAUAAAUAGUUCAACCAAAUAUGACAAAAUAAUCGGGUUGGGUCUUAUUUGAAUUAAUAUGAUUAAUCUUUUAAUCAACUUGUUUAUGAUUCAAUUGACCCAUUUAUUCGAAUUUUAAAUAAUACAAAUGUGAGUUAAAUAUGUUAUAUUUAUAAUCAAAUUGAUUAAUACCAUUAUGAAAUAAGCCAAUUCAGAUUAAAAUCGUGUUUUACUGGUCAACGUGUUACAUUGAUAUUGAAUUUGGGGUUUUAUUUUAUUUCCUUUUUUGAUUAAAAAAGAAAUAGAACAAUAUAUAAAUGAAUAAUUUUAUUGAAGUAUAGAAUAUCAAAUGGGGUUCGUUGGGCCUAUAUUACUUGAGCCCUUGGGCCAAAUUCAACCUAAAUUGAAUUGGAAUUAAUUAAAAUUCAACUUAAACCUAAAUUGAUUAUCCAACGCACCCUCAUGCUUGGUCUUUAACAUGUAAUAUUUUAAACUAUAUUGAAUCUAAGUCAAGUUUAUUCAAAUUGAAGGCUUUGAUUGCAUAGUAGAAAAAAAUAAUUAAGGAAAACUAUAAAGGGAACAAAAGAAUAAAAAACGAUGGAACAAAAGAGAGAGGGAAAUAAAAUAUAAUUUAGUCUUGAUAAAUUUUUUCAGCAAUUUUAUUCUUUCUUAUUUAAUUAAUAAAAAAUUUAAAAAAAUAUUUAAUGUUCUAAAUAACUCUCAUUAUUUUAUUUUAUUUUAUUUUAUUUGUAUUUUCAAUUACAAAUAAAAUAAGAGAAUUUAUUUAGGACUCAUUUAGAUAUAUUUCUUUACUUCUCUUUUUAAAAAUAAAAUAAUAAGAAUAACUUCUAUAUAAAAUAUAAUAAUUCAUAAAAAUUAAGAACUUACAUAUAUGUUUAAUAAUUAUUUUUAAAAUUUAAGAUAAUAAAUUUUUUAAUAUUUAACUUUUUUAAACAAUUUUUGAAAGUCAUCAAUUAUUUUAAGACAAGUUUUGAAGAGUUUAUGUAUUUCAUCUGAGAGUUACUAUCAUUUCAUAUAUUAAAAAGUGAAAAUAAAAAACAUAUACAAAUGAACAUGUUUUUUAUUUUCUUUUACCUACUCCCGAGUCUUAACCAAGCGAAAGAAUUGACUACCUUUUUAUUAACAUAUUUAUCUAAAGAAAUUAUAUAAUUAAGUAUCUAUUUGACAGUGAUUCUAAGAAGCGUAUUUAGAUUAAAAAGUGUUUUUUUUAAAGUGGAUGUUUAGUAAAAUUUAAUAAAUAUUUUUUAAAAUUAAAAAAAAAGCACUUAUAAUAUUGAAAAAUCAUUUAUAGUGUUUUUUGAAAAAAAAAACUUGAUAAAUAAUUCUCUUAAAAACGUUUUUAUUAAAAACAUUUCAAGUAAAAAGACUAUCAAAUUCAUUUUAAAUUAAGAAUCAAACCAAACAUAACAACCCAUUUAAUAGUAACUCUAGAAAACGCUUUUAAUAUUUGAAAAUUUUUAUCAUUCGAAUGUUAAAAAUGUAAAAAACGCUUUCUAAAAUUACUCCCAAAGUCAUUCUAAGUUUGGCAGGUUGAAAUAAUGUUUUCGUAACGUUAUUAUCACGGAAUAAUUUUUUAUGUAGAGAGAAAACAUAAAUAUAUUGCAUUACACAAAACGUUUAAUUUGCAUUUCACCAGCAUGGCUCAUAUGAUUAAUUGAAUGGGGGUCACCAUCAAACCAAAGAGUCUCAGGUUCAAGUUAAGAGCCGCAAAACCAAUCUACAUACCAAUUAAAAAAUUUAGCUUUGAAGUGAAACGGCAUGUGUGAUGGUGAUGGGCUGAGCUCAAGAUUUUGAAUGUGUGCUCAAGCCUUGACCUUACUCAUAAUAAAAAAUUGUGGAAACCUAAUAUUAAGGGUAGCAAUUUUUGACUAAUGAUGAUUAUUAGGAACAUAAAACAUCAUUCAUUUAAUCCAACCCAAUUUGGUAAAGGGUUAGGUUCAACAACAUGAACCCUUUUGGCUCCCUUGUCAGUGGCUCCAAUGCCUGCACCAACUUGUAAUGGGCAGUGACCAAAUCAAAGAUGUAAUGGGCAUUUUUUAAGGAGGUGUGACAAGUGCCUUAAUAAUAAUUCCAAGUGGCAUGAUUCUUAAGGAGAUUAUUAUGGUUCCUUUUGGACCAAAUUGGGGUGUGACCCAUUUGCAACACAUUGUAGAAUAGGUCAAUUGGAGGCUUUGAGGCUUGUGAAUCACCACCUCUUUACACACAAAACAUGCACAUCAUAAACAACUGAAUUCAGAAGGGAAUGCAUGUGAAUGUUGAACCAAUGCUCUCUUCUUUCUUUUCUAGCUAUCUUUUGAGAAAAAGGGUGUGCAAGCAAACAUCUCAUUUUGGACGAAUAUAGUAGAUGACCCACAAGGUUCACGAUGGACCCCCUUGUGAACAAUGGUGUGCAUGCAAACUUUUCUGACUGCAUGCCCUUUUACAAAAUAAUUCAACCCAAAAUUUGGACUUGUCCAAGAUGCAGUCAUAGUACUUGUCACUUGGCUCACGAUGUAAACUUUGAAUACAAUCAUGCGUAAUUCAAAUAAUCUUGAGAAGUUAAGAAUCUUAUAUCGUGUUAAGCUAAGAAAAACCUAAGAGCAUGCUUGAAAAACAAGCUUAUAAAUUGUUCUUCAAAUUCAAAAACACGUUUCAUUAUUGUUUAGUGAAGAUAGUUUUGAGAACAUGUUUUGCAAAUAUGAUAUUUUCUAUUAACAUAUUUUCAAUUAUUUUUUUGUUAUUUUAAAUUGUUCUCUAUGGAUUUUUUAUUUAUUUAAAUAAUUGUGUAAAUAUGAAUAAAGAUUAAAAAUAAAGCAAUAUUGAUAAAAGUUGUUUUUAAGAAACUUUUGAAAAAAAAAAAUAGGUUGAGAACAUUUUAUCUUUUUAAACAAACUUUUUUGCCCUUAAAAGCAUAAAAAGAUUGGUUUUGAAAAUCAUUUCAAAAAAUUAUUUUGGAAAAUGUUUCCAAACAACUUCAUGGGUACUAAAGAGAACUCUAUCAAACUUUCAAUUUUGAUGGUUGAAUAUGCACAAAAAACCUAGAUUAUCAGAUAAAGGUAUAAAGCACAAAAAAAUGAAAUUGAGUAUAAAUAAAACUUAACUUGAUUGAUCACACUUUUUGUAAAGUAUAUCUUUUAUGUUUUAAUCAUAUCCCUUAUCAUAUUAAACAAUUCAUUUACUCAAAAUUAUAACAAAUGAAGUAAUAAAAUGUCACAUGUGUCUAGAAUUAAUAGAAAAAUCAAUUAAGAUCCAACCGAAAAGACCAAAGUUUUUAUGGUAUUCACGAAUUUCUAACAUGUGACACUACUAAGAUUUAUGUCAAUUAUAUCAACAUUAAAAAUCUUCCAUAUUGGUGCAAACAUAUGGUUUGUCAAAAUUGAUAUAGAAGAAUAAAAAGUCCUAAGCUAGAUUUAAAUUGAUAGUUGGGUAAAAUAUUGCGGCUUUAGUUUGGACUUCACAUGAAAAAUGCAAGGCGAGGUGUGGGAUGCCGUGAGAAGAAGAACUGAGAAAAUUGGUCCAAACACGUAGGAUUUAUGAGACUUUAGGGCAUGUUUUUAUCUCUAGCCAUGUGGCCCCCUUUAGGCUUGGCUUUUAGUCCUAACAAAGUUGAUUAGAACAUUAAAAAUUGUCAUUAGUUGUUUAGAUUUGUCACUUUCGAUAUGCAACAAGAUAUUGCUAAUACUUUGAAUUUGGAAACAUUCUUUUCUAUAUGCCUAACCGCCCAUGGAAACAAUGGCCUUUUCAUGUCCCUUAAUUUUUGUGCUUACGUGUGUUGAGUUGUGUUUUUUCCUCUCCUUUUACUCUUUAAAAAAAAAUGUGUUAUAUAUAAGAUUUUUUUGUCAUACUUCAUAAAAAAAAAAAUUACAAAUUAUUUUUAAAUUUAAAAAAUACUUUUUUUUAGCCUGGUUUGAAAAGGUUUUCAAAUAUAAUUAAAAAGAUCGUUUUUUAGCAAAUUUUCAAUUACUUUUAAGAGUAAAUAUCUAUUUGAAAAAAAAAAACCAAAAAAAACAAAAUAACAGUUUUUUGGAAUUGCUACAAGGGAAAGUAUUAUAUACUUAUGUAUAACACAAAAAUUAUUAACAUUAAUUUUACUUAGAUUCUUAGAGAUUUGAUGUAAGUACGUGGAAUCAUCGUUGAUAUGAUAAUUUCAAAUUUCAUCGAAUAAUAAUUUUAUAAAUUUAUUUUUUUAUAAGAUUUAUUUUUUAGGGAGAUUUUAGAUAAAUGUAUUUAACAUUUCUCUUAAAAAUAAAUUUUAUAGAUGAAACUAUUUUUGAUUAGAAACUUAUUAAGUAUGUAUUUUGAGUUAGAAAAUUGUCACAUGUUUUUUGAGUAAAAAAUCUUUUUUGAUUUUAAAAAAAAGUCAUUUUCAAGCACGAUUUUUUAACCAAGCGUCUCUAAAAAUAAAUGUGCUUGAUAAAUUAUUUUUAAAAACACUUUUCAAAAAAGGAAACCAAUCAUGGAAUCGUGGUUUAAUAUAUAUCUACACUAAAUCUAAGAAGGUGUUAAUAAAAUUAACCCAAAUUAUUAAAGUGUUUUCCAUAUUUUCAAUGUUUGUUCAAAACACUUUACUUAAAAAAUAGUUUGUUUUAUAGAAAAAGUUGUAUAAAACUAUUUUCAAUCAAAAAGCUAUUAAAUAUGUAUUUUGAGUUAGAAAAUUGUGAUAUAUUUUUUGAUUCAAAAAUCUUUUUUUAUUUUAAAAAGCAAAAAAUCGUUUUCAAAAAUCAUUUUCAAGCACAAUUUUUUAACAAAACCUCGAUAGUCUCCAGAGAUAAAGCUGUUAGACACAUUAUUUUUAAAAAUAUUUUUAACAAAUAGAAAUCAAUCAUGAAAUCGUGGCUUUACUAUAUGUAGACUAUUUUUUAACAAAGCUUGGAUAGUCUCCAAAGAUAAAGGUGUUAGACAAAUUAUUUUUAAAAACAUUUUUAACAAAAAGAAACCAAUCAUGGAAUCGUGGCUUAUAUAGACUAAAUCUAAGAGUGUGUUAAUAAAAUUAACCUAAAUUAUUAAAGUAUUUUUUUAUAAUUUCAAUAUUUGCUCAAAACACUUUACUUAAAAUAUAAUUUGUUUUUUUAAAAAAAUUGACGUAAAACUAUUUUCCGUCAUAAACCCAAUAAAUAUUUAUUUUGAGUUAGAAAAUUAUAAUAUAUUUUUUAAUUCAAAUUUUUUUUUAUUUUAAAAAGCAAAAAAUCAUUUUCAAGCACAAUUUUUUAACAAAGCCUUGAUAGUCUCUAAAGAUAAAGGUGUUAGAUAAAUUAUUUUUAAAAACAUUUUUAACAAAAAGAAACCAAUCAUGAAAUCGUGACUUACUCAUAUGUAGACUAAAUCUAAGAGUGUGUUAGUAAAAUUAACCUAAAUUAUUAAAGUAUUUUUCAUACUUUCAAUAUUUGUUCAAAUCACUUUACUUAAAAAAUAAUUUGUUUUUCAAAAAAAAAUUGACAUAAAACUAUUUUCGGUCAUAAACCCAUUAAAUAUGUAUUUUGAGUUAGAAAAUUGUAAUAUAUUUUCUGAUUCAAAAAUCUUUUUUUAUUUUAAAAAACAAAAAAUGGUUUUCAAAAAUCAUUUUUUUUUUUUAACAAAGCCUUGAUAGUCUACAAGAUAAAGGUGUUAGACAAAUUAUUUUUAAAAACAAUUUUAACGAAAAGAAAUCAAUCAUGAAAUCGUGGCUUACUCCUAUGUAGACUAAAUCUAAGAGCGAGUUAAUAAAAUUAACCUAAAUUAUUAAAGUAGUUUUCAUCCUUUCAAUAUUUGCUCAAAAAACUUUACUUAAAGAAUAAUUUAUUUUUUUAUUUUAAAAAAAUUGACUUAAAACUAUUUUCGAAUAUAAACCCAUUAAAAUAUGUAUUUUGUGUUAGAAAAUUGUAAUAUAUUUUUUCUGAUUCAAAAAUCUUUUUUUAUUUUAAACAGUAAAAAAUCGUUUUUAAAAAUCAUUUUCAAACACAAUUUUUUAACAAAGCCUUGAUAAUGUCCAAAAGUAAAGAUAUUAGAUAAAUUAUUUUUAAAAACAUCUUUAAUAAAAAGAAAUCAAUCAUGGAAUCAUGGGUUAUGUAGACUAAAUCUAAGAGUGUGUUAAUAAAAUUAACCUAAAUUAUUAGAGUAUUUUUCAUACUUUCAAUAUUUGCUCAAAACACUUUACUUAAAAUAUAAUUUGUUUUUAAACUAUUUUCAGUCAUAAACCCAUUAAAUAUGUAUUUUGAGUCAGAAAAUUGUAAUAUAUUUUCUGAUUCAAAAAUCUUUUUUGAUUUUAAAAAUCAAAAAAUCAUUUUCAAGCACGACCUUUUAAUAAAGCCGUGAUACUCGCUAAAAAUAAGGUGUUCGAUAAAUUAUUUUUAGAAACUUUUUUCAAAAGCACAAAACAAAACAAAAAUCACAUCACCAUUUUUCGGCAUUCAUUUCCAUUGAAAUCAUGAUUUUACCGUGUACGUUUGUGUCCUCAUUCAGACAGGACAUGGAAUCUUUUUUUCAGCCCCUAAAUGUUCUGUAACUGUCACAAUCAAUUGUACAAUCCAUCUCUUCCAAGAUCUGCCCAAUCCCUUGAAUUCAUUUCCUACAGGAAAACAAUGGUUUUUUCACGUCACCCUACUUUUCAAAUUGCAUCCAAAGGGAGAAUUGUGCUUUGUUUCGGACCCAAAAAUUAACAUUUGGUCCUUCAAUCACAUAUAUUUAAGUUCAAACAUAUAAGAUAGUAAUGGAUAAAAAUACCUACUUGACUCAUUUUUGUCUUUAUUCUACCACUUGCCACUCUUCUUUCUUUUUUAACCAUUUUUUUAUUUUUUAUUUUUUUAAAACUCUUUUAUAAAUAAUUAAAAAAUUACAUUAUUUUUUAUUUUUAAAUUAUAAAUAAACAAAAAUUAUAUUAAUGAUUCAAAUACUAUUUUACACUUUUUAAAAAAAUAUUAAUUUAAAUAAAUAAAAAUUAUCUUUUAUAUUUAUUUUUAUCGUUUAUAUUUUAGAAGUAAAUAAUUUAAUGAUUAAAAUACCAUUUAAAAUAAAUAUAUUCACUAUUUUAUUUUUUUUAUACUAAAAAGUAUUUUAAAGUUUUUUUUACUAUUAUAAAAUAAAAAGUUCAAAUUUUUUUUUAAUCUUCUUCUUUCCUUAUUUUAACAACUUUUUGAACAUGACUUUUAGUAAUAAAUUAUAUAAAAUGCUACAAAUUUGUUUAUUAAGGAUUUUUUUUUAAUGAUUUGAAUUAAUUGAAAAUUUAUUAAAAUAAGAAAAAGAAAAAUAAAGAAAUGGGAUGGAUUGAGAGUUUUUAUUUUAAGUAUUCGAUUAAAAUGAGGAUGAUGGAGAGUUUUUAUUUAAGUACUCAAUUAAAAUGUUUUCAUAUGACCUAAUUUUAGAAGUGGAUUAUAUCAAUACAUAGUAGAGAUUGAUUUUUUUAUAUAUAUAAAAAGGUUGAAAGAUAUAUUUACUUAUUUUAAAUGAAAACAAGUAACUAAAAAUUAUAUAGAUUAUAUUUGAGUUUGGUUUUAAAAUAUUUUUCUAAUUUUUAUUUUUAUUUUCUAUAUUGCCUCUUUUUGAAAAUACGUUUAAGUUAUGACAAAUAUAAAAUUAAUGUCAUUGUACAAGGGUAUUAUACUAAUUGUACAAGGGAAAUGUGCUAAGUGUACAAGGGUGUACAAGGCUCCUAAUAGGUUUUAUACGAUUUUUAAACAACUUGAAUUUGAUAUUAAGACGAUUAUUGAUAGUUUUUUUUUCUUUUUGUUACCAAACUAUUUCAUUAAGACAUUCCCUACAAAAAUUAACACAUAAGAAAUAAAAUUUUGAGUUAUUUGAGUUAUUGUACAAGGUAUUACAUUAACUGUACAAGACAAAUUUACUAAUUGUACAAGGAUGUACAAGACUACUUUUUGUUAAGGAUUUCAAGUGAUUUUAAAAAAUUUUCCUAUUUUUUUCCACUCAAAGAUUUUUUCCCCCACUCAAAUUCUCUCACUCAAGAAUUGUUUCGAAUUUUAUUUUUAAAUUUCAUCAUCAAAAAUUUGUAAUUGCAUAUUUUGUUUUUGUAGUUUUAGCAAUGUUAUUUCUUUUCACUAUAUAUUUUUUUUUGUGAAAUUUUAUCCAAAUGAAUCUAUAUUUAAAAUUAUAAUCAUAUUUAUCAAAAAUUUUACUAAGAUUAUCUUUAAUUCUUUUAAUAUAUUUAUACUCAUUUAUUUAAAAAAUGAAAAACUAAUUUUUUUUUUUUUUUUUUUGUAAACAUGUUCUAUUACCUUUCAAGUAAAAAAUUAGAUAAGUUUCAAAGUCAAUAAAUAAAAAAAUUAAAUAUCACUUUCAAUAAUUUUUAGAUAAAAUUUUAUAUAAUAUAUUUUAUUUGAAACUUAAUUUUUAAAGUUUAACUAAAAAAUUGUAUUGACAAUUUUCUUGUUGUGGGUCAAAAUACUUUGCAUUAGUCUAUCUAGAUAAGAAAAAUUAUUAAUAUAAUAUUAGAAUUUCAUAUCUUAGUUAUUUUUUUUCAACAAAUUUAUCUUUUUAAAAAUUUUAAAAUAAAAACAUUAAAAUUAAAAAGCUAAAAAGAUAUAUAUAUAUAUAUAUAUAUAUAUAAUAAAGUGAAGUGAUAAUUAAUUUUAAAUUUUUUUAAAAUAUGGUUAAUGUAGAAAAUAUAAAAAAUAAUUAAAAAUAAGAGAAAAAUAUAGAUGAAAGGGUAAUAUAAAUUUAAAAUAAAAAAUGAAAAUUAAACUAAAAGAUAAAUACAAAAAGAUAAAAAAUAUUUGGAUGAAAAAUCCCAAAAUUUUUAUCAUUGCUUUUAAUAAGAGUAAAAUGAUUCAAUAUCUUUAAAAAUGAAAAAUAAAAAAAUAUUAUUGUUUUUUAUUUGACAUAAAAUAGAAAUAUAUAUUGGAAUAAAAAGGAAAAAAAAAGUUAGAAAUGAGUAAUAUUUAAUAGGGAAUAGAAAAGGAAAAAAACACAAAAAAAAAUUAAAAUUCACACUCACUUGUACGCAUAUAAGGGAUAAGGGUAUUUUAGGAAUUAAUGAAAGACAAUAUCCUUCAUCUUAAUUUUCAUACUUUGUUUGGGUCUUGGCCUUAAAUAUGGGUGGUUGGAGGACCAAAUGUUAAUUUUUGGGUCCAACUGGGCCCAAAACACAAUUCUCCCUACAUUCUAUCAUAAUUUUAUUUUGAUAAAUUGUUAAUUAUAUAUUUUUAUUUUUUUAUUUUUUUCCAUAUUUGUCACAUGAAUUUUUAAUUUUUUUUUUAAAAAAAAGAAGUGCCCAAUCAUUUUAUUUUUAUUUUUUAUAAUAUUUAUUGCUUUAAUUAUUUUAUUUUAAACUUUUUAAAAAUGAUUGUAAAAUAAGUAAAAUAUAAAAAAACUAACAAGUUUUUAGUAAUUUAUAAAUAUAAGUUUUCAGUAAAAAUUAAUUUGAUAAUAUAAAUUAUAAAUAUAAUUUUGAAAUUUUAACAAUUUAAAUGAAUGAACAACAAAAAUUGGCCGAUUUUUAAAAUAAACUUCUAAAGAAAAUGUUUUAAAUGAAAUCUUAUUUAAAAUUUUGAAUGAUUUAAUUUUUUAUUUAAAAAGUAAUAAAAUUAAUAUUUUUUAAAGUUUUAAAAUAAAUUAAUACAAAUAUAUUAAAAAAUUAAGAUAAUUUUAGUUAGUAAAUAUUAAUUGAGACAACAAAAUUUUAUUUAAUUUAAAGUUAUCCAAACAAAGAUAUCAAUCAUGACUUAUAAAAGCAACCUUUUAUGAGUGUCUAAUAUUUUGAUAACUGAAUAUAUAUAUAGAUAUAUAUAUAUAUAUAUAUAUAUAUUUUGACGGAAUUGGCAACUUGCUCAAUAUUAGACAAUAAAAAUUAUCAGCAAUUAAAUUUUAUGAAGACAUUAAAAAUAUCAUACAAAGAUUCUUAAAAAAAAAAACUUGUAAAAGUUUUGAAUUUUUUUUAAAAAAUAAUGAAAUUACCAAUAAUAUAAAGUUAUUUAAAUAUAUAUAUAUAUAUACUUUUAAAAAAAUUGUGAUGAAAAAUAUCUAAAAAAAAAUAUGAAUUUUGAAAAUAUUAACCCAAUACUCACAUGAAAAUAUAUUUUAUUAAAGGGUAUAUUAUACUUUACUCUUUUAAUGUUUUGUUCAUUGCCUCCUUAAGGUCAAAAUCGAGUAAUGUACUUUUCAUACUUUAUAAUUGCAUGAUGUGCAUUUUUGGAGUGACGAUGUGCAUGUGUUCUUCACGUGACUUAUUUAAAUGAGAGCAAAAUGGUCAUUUCAUUUAAAAAAAUCUCAAAACCCUAACCCACCUCUUCAUUCCUUCGUUCAUUCAUCCCUUCAAUCUCCGCCGUCUAUCCUACCUCAAUUGUUGUUGGCAUUGUUGUGGAUCCUUUCACCGACCGCCCAUCGCACCACUACCUUGCCAUUGUGAUUCCACCCUUCUCAAAUCCUACAUCGUCACUCACCCAAACAAACCCUAGCCCCAACCCCUCCCCUCCCCUAUAAAUGCAUCAUUUCGAUUAUUAGCCGCCAACAAAACCUUGAAAUUUAAAUGAAAGAAAGCAUUAGAAAUGCUUAAGAAAAGUUUUUAUUUUCAGAUUGUUGUUUCUCAAGCAUUUUCAUUAGAUUUGGCAAGGUUGUCAUUUGAAUUUUGAAUUGAUUUUCUUUUUGGAUUUUUAUAUUGUUUUUCGAUCAUUUUUUGUUUGACAAUUUGAAUUUGGUUGUUUUGGAUCAUGAUGGUGUUUCGAUUUAGUGCUUUAACUACUAGGUAAAACAAUUUGUUUGAUUUUUUUUUUUUUUGUGAAUCUGUUUAUUUUUUAAGACAUUGCAAAUGCAUUUGGUUGUCGACAAAAUGUCAUUUCUAAAAAACGAAGAAAGGAAGAAGAAUGAGGAUUGUUAGGGUUUUAGGUAAAACAACUUGUUUGAUUAUCUGUUUUUUGUGAAUCUGUCUAUUUUUUAAGACAUUGCAACUGUGUUUGGUUGCCGAGAAAAUGUCGUUGCUUGAAAACCAAGGAAGGAAGAAAAAAGAGGGUUGUUAGGGUUUUGGAGUUUUAAAAUGAAAUAACUCUUUUGCCCUCACUUAUUAAAAAAAAAGACCAUUUUGUCCUCAAUCAUGCGGAGAACACAUAUUAUUCUAUUAAAAAAUGUAACGUCAUGACUCAGAAAAUACACAUUAUAUGCAAUUAUAAAGUUUGGAAGGUACAUUACUCGAUUUUGAACUCGAGAGAGCAAUGUGCAAAACACGGUAUAAGUUGUAGGAUAAAGUGUAAUAAACCCUUUAUUAUAUUAUAUUUGUUUUCAAAAUAUACAUUUAUUUUAAAUUCUAUCCUAAAAAACAUUAACUUAAUAUCAUUGUAAUUAAAAUAUAUAGAAAGAAAAGAAAUAUUUGUGCUAAUAUGAUCCCUCGUGGAAAACAUUACUUCCCAUGACUGAAAAUUAUUAAGAAAAAAAAGGGAUUGGUCUAUCCCUAAACCAAAUUAAAAAUAAAAUUAUUAAAUGCAACCAAGUGUGAACUUAAGACUAUGAUGAGUGGGCUUGAUACUAACUGAAUGCAACAAAUGUCAACCGGCCUUAAUGAUAUGGGCAGGGCUCUCUUUGAAUGUAUUUAUAUUAAAAGGUCAACGUAACAGCCACAAAAUCAACAUGGAUUAUGGAACAUUCCCUAGAUUUUAGGAGUCGACGAGCCCGUAAAAAAUGUAGGAGUAAAGGUGUGUAAAGAUUUUAUUAGUUGGUGGCCGUUAAAUUGGUAGUUGACCUCCCCACAUCCAUCCUCUACUCCAUGUAUUAUUAUUAGAAAUGUAUCAAUUAUUAUGUAAGAAUUUCAUAGUCAUGCUAAUUUUUAUGUUUAUUUUAUAAAAAAUGUUAAGAUACUUAUCGAAACUCUUAGUCUUCGUCAUAAGGCAUGCCCUGAAUCUACAACCGACAAAGUUAUAAAUAACUAAAAGUUAUAAAUAACUAAAAUCAUGUAUAAAUAAAUGAAAUUGAAAUACAAAAAGGAAUAAGAUCAAUAUUAAAAUUAGGGUUUGGGUGCCCAAUCAGGACUAACCCGACUCAAUCCAACAAAAUAAAAAAUAAGGAGAAUAGUUUAUGAGAAUUAAAUCAUCUAAAAACUAUCUCUAUAUAAUAAUAAUAAUAAUAAUAAUAAAUCAUCUCUCUUAUAUUUUUACUCUUUCUCUGGAAAAAAAAACAGAAAGAAUACUCUGUAACGUGAUUAUCAAAUUUUACAGUUUCAUUCACAAUUUGGGCCCGAGAAUUCAUGAUCAUUAAAUAUGAAGUUUCAUCUUUGACCCUUGUUCUAUUGAUGAAAAAAAAUAGUAAAAAUAACACCAUCCUACGUUAACACAUAUAAAAUAAAAUAAGAUAUAAAUAUUAUUAAUUUUAUGGAUUAUAGAAUAAAAUUAGGUAAACAAUAAUAUUACGGCGGUGGGGGGUACUUGAUUAAAUUUGACAAAUGAUAGUAGUAAAAUUAAAAUAAUAAUUGGGAAUGACGGUAGCCGAAAAUCUUUUUGGGGAGGAAGAAGAUUUGGUAGUGUACUUGAUUGGUUGAAUAAAUUUGAUACGAAGACUUGUUCAACCAUAUUUUAUGGUUGACUCUAAAAGCUUUUAUGAUACUCUGCAGUCGACGCGGAUAGGUAGAACACAAAGCAUUUAAAGCUUUGAUUUAGUGGGUGAAGGUCCGGACCCAUUUGAAUUUGCUCCCUCACUCCAAAAUAAUAACAAUAAUAUAUACAAUUUUUAAAUGAUGGUCAUAGUGCCCUUUGUGUUUGUUUAACAAGUGAAUUAUUUUUCAUUUUUAUUUAAUUAUUUUUAAAUUUAUAAAAACUAUUGUAAUAAUUUUUGUAAUUAAUAUUGUUAUAAUUUUGAAAAAUUAAUUAAAUAGAAAAGAAAUAUAAAUUUGUAAAUCAUAUUAUAAAUCAUAAGUAAGCAUGCUUAAAUUUUAUUUAUUUUUUGAAAAUUAAUUUUAAUUAUUACAAUUUAUCUACAUAAUUUUUUUUUGGAAACUCACUUAGUAGUACAGGAUUGAAUGGGAAUGAGGAUAAAGAUUCACAUUUAAAAUGUGGAAAAUUUACAAAAAAAAAAAGGCAAUUACGUCCCAUAUUUGGAUUUUGGAGGGCCGACACUAGCCGUCCAAUUUAUUAAUUUUUUAUGCACCCAAAAUUUCUGUUUUAUUUCUUUUGCACCUCCAAUGUUUUAUAUAAUUGCCAAUCAAACUCCCCUCUACUUUUUAAAAUUACCAAACAGCCUCAUCAAUUUUAAAAAAUAAAAUAAAAUCAUUUAAAAAUAAAAAUAUUUAAAGAAAAAAUGAAAAUUAUGAGUGUCCGGAGAUGAAGACCGACAUCAAAGGGCUGUUGUACGGGCAUGCGCAGGACACUAAUGAGGCCAGGGGCAGUACAUGUGCUUGAAGGAGGUUUUUUGUUUUUUUUUUUCUUAAAAAAAUGUUUGUAAGUACAAAUUUUAAUUGGAUUUUUUUAAAAAACAUUAAAUUUGUUUUUCGUAUUAAUUUUUGUAAGUACAACGUAGACAUUUAUGGUUUGUAAGGCAAAAGUAUGUAGAAAUAAUAUCGAACGCUCUUAAAAGUGUUUGUAAGUACAACGUAGACAUUUAUGGGUAUUGAAAAGGAAGGUGAAAAGCAAGGUAUAUAGUAAAUGCUUUGCAAUUCACACACAUUUGAGAUCCAUGUGGACUUCAACAAAAAGAGAAAAAAAAAAAAAAAAAAAACAUUAUUGUUUGGCUUUGGGUUAGGGUUGAAAAUAUUUGAAUCAUAUCACAAAUUUUAUUUUUUAUUUUUAUUUUCCUUUCUUCUUUUCUAAAAAUGUUCAAUGAAAAUAGAAUCGAUAAGGGUGCACAAGGUAAUACCCAUGGGUAAUAUUAGGUCGUAUCAUUAGUCAAUUUGAUUAUAAACUUAACAUGAGUAAAUAUUUAUAUUAUGUAUAAACAUAAAUUUUAGGAUGGAUUUGGUAUUUAAUGAUUUGUAAGUUAUUACUUUUAAUUAAGUAACUUUUCUUAUUACUUAAAUGAUAUUAGGUAGAGCAUGAUAUAUAUUACAAGCUAAUGACAACUAUUACUUCAGAUCGAUAAAAAUCUCUUUAUUGUCAAAUGUUAUCAUCACAAUCAUAAUAAUGUCGAUCAAGCCGUUCAAUUUGACUUUCGAUAUAAUAAAGUAAUGUUAAAUUUCUAAUUUCUCAUCUUCUUUUUUGAUCCUUCAAAAUAAUAAUGAUAACAAGAAGACAAUCUGUUUUAUACAUAAUUAUAUGUUCUCUUUCAAAGGAACAUUCUUUAAAAUGGUUACUUUAAAUCUAUUUUUUGAAAAACUAUAACGUCUUUUAAAAACCAUCUUUUCAAAAGCCGAUUCCCUUUAAAUUUAUUAAUCAUGUUAAUACUAAAAUCGUAUUUUGAUCAAACACGUUUACUUGAAACAUAAUAAUAACGAGGACAAAGUAUCGCUUCUUAAAUAAUACGAGUUCAGUAAAAUUAUUUUUUCAAAAUACAACUUUAAACAAAACACUUCUUUAUAAUAUAUCUUGAUACAUAUCGGAUCAUUAAACUAAAGUAGAUCCAUCUUUAUUAUGAUGGAUAAGUCAUAAUUAGCUAGCGAUCACAAUUAAGGAAAUUAAAACACAUGCCUAAUAGAGUCAAUUUAGAACUACAAAUCAUGUCCUUUAUGAGAAUGAUUUCAUGUUGAUGCAACUUAAAAAAUAAACAUGAUGUUUUUUUUAUUAUUAUUAUUAAAAAAGCAAUGUUUCUUUAUAUUAAGCAACCACCUACCACUUACCUUAAAAAGUGUCGGGGAGUUUCCAUGCAAUUCUCUUAAUCAAUUUUUUCUUCUGCCUUAAAAAAAUUUACAAAAGAAAAUGAAGAAGGAAAAUGGAAUUCCGUAGACUUAGUUGAGAAAAGUAAAAAGGGAGGAUAAAAUCAAAGGAAAAAAAAAGACACGAGAAGCUUCUGGGAUAGCAUGCAAGUAUACUUGUUUUGAUUUUAUUCAUACAGCACUUCGAAAUGGAAAACACUGAUUUUGCAAGCUCUUUACCCAGAUGAGAAAAAGAAUUUAGAAAGUGCCUUUUUUGACUUGGAAAGCUUUUUAUGUUUGAAUUUUGACCAUAAUAAUCAACACAACACGUCAUGCAUGAUAAAGAAAUUAAGGCAUUUUCUCUCAUAUUGUAUCAUAUUCUAUGACUGGAAAUUUCUCAAACCAAUUUUUUCUUUGCCAUGUUGGAGCACAAGUGUUUGAAAAUUAUGUGCUAAAUAAAAAAAAAAACAAAAAAACAAAAAGAACAAAAAGUUAGUUUAUGAAAAGUAAGAGUAUGUAUGUUUAGCUGACCGCGUUUUUUCAUGAUUUUUGCUUUAUAAAUGAAAAAAAAAAUUGUUUUUAUUUUUUGUUUUAGAAUUUGAUAAUAUGUUUUAAAAAAACAUAGGUAUAAAAAAAUAUUAUACUCCUAAAUUUUUAAAACAAAUUUUGCAAUUUCAAAAUAUAUGAACAAGAAUAGCUAUUGUUAUAUAAUUAUUGAACAUGUUUUGUUCUAAUUUUUUUUUUAAAAAGGAAAUUAAAAUUAUUAAAUAUGUUAGAAAUUAAAAUAAUUUAAAAUAUAAUUGAUUUUCUUUUUUACCCAUAUAGUCAAUAAAAAUAAAAGGUAUGUAUUCGAGUGUUCAUUUGAAAAUAUGUAAAAAAAAAAAUGAAACGAUCUUUUCAUAUUUCAAAUCAUAUCAUAUGAUAUAUCCAUUUAAGUCAAAGAUAGUACCGGAAUAUUAUCUUUUACUUGAAUGAGAAUCGCCUUUAAGCAAACAAUGUACGAGAUUUUAAUUAUUUCAAUAGUUUAUAUCACAAUACACCUUUCUCAAUUAUAAAAAUGGGAGUGUAUCCAAAUGCACCUAACUCCAUCGUAUUAGUAUUUUUGUUUAGUAGAAGACUUAAAUUCAUUUAAAAAAUAAUAAUUUUUAUUUUAUUUUUUUAAUUUUUUGAUUUCCAUGAAUGUUGUAUAAAUUUUAUUAUAAUGUAUAGAAUGAGAUGAAGAGAUUGGGUACACGCGGGGAGGUAGUCUUGAGUUGAUGUUGGGUUGCAUUGACAAAUGAAAACACAAGGUGGCAGUAGGGAAAACAAAAGAAGGAAAAGAAACAAUAAAGAAUAAAGCAGCAGGGGGGAAAAAGGCUGAUCUUACUAUUAAAAAUACAACUGGAGAGAAAGUGGAGGAAGGACAAAUGAAAAGAUGCUCAAACAUUAAAUACUAGAAAAAUGUUCAGACCUGCAACAAUUUUCUAGUCAAAUUCCGACAUUCUUGAACCCACCCCUUCCACUUCUAUAAAUACCCACCUCAUUUCUUCUUCCUGUAUCUACCUAACCCAAGUCUUUUAGUGCAAUCAGUCUUGAGAGAGAGAGAGAGAUGGCUUUUCUUCAUAUGUUGCCUCAGGUUUUCUUCUCAGCCAUGGGUCUCUUUCUUCUCUUUGUUUUAUGGAGGGUUGUGUUCUCCUGCUGGAUUUCUCCUAAUCGGGUUUACCGAAGGAUUAGGAUGAACGGGCUUGAAGGCCCUCCUCCUAGUUUUCCUCUGGGAAAUAUUGAUGAGAUGAAGAAGGAUAAGAGGAGUUCUUCUUCUGGGUAUUCAGGGAUCUCCCAUGAUAUCCAUUCAACUGUUUUUCCUUACUUUUCUCGCUGGACGAAGUCUUAUGGUAAGCCUGCUUUUUUUUUUUCUCUCUCUUUUUCUGGUUUUUUUUAGAUUGUUUGAUGUGCAGUGUGGUGACAUAUAGUGGAAUUUUGUGUUGCAGGGAAGGUGUUUAUAUACUGGCUGGGAACAGAGCCAUUUUUGUACGUUGCAGACCCUGAAUUCUUGAAGAGAAUGUCUGCAGGAGUGUUGGGGAAGAGCUGGGGGAAGCCUUCUGUGUUUAAACAUGACAGAGAGCCCAUGUUUGGUAAUGGUUUGAUUAUGGUUGAAGGCGAUGAAUGGGUCCGGCAUCGACAUGUUAUCAGUCCUGCAUUCUCUCCGGCCAACUUGAAGGUCAGUUUGUAAUAUCCACUCUACAAUAAUUUCCCAAUAUUUCUCCAACUUUGGCUUACUUUGAGUAUUCGAAACCAUUCCAUUACGGGCUUUCUUUUUCUUUUUCUCUUUUCUAAGGAGUUUUUGUUUUCUCCGAUUCUCAAUUGUUUUGUUUUGUGAAUUAAAAUAGUCUAAUUUCCAAGUCCCAUCUUUCAAGUCCAAGUCCUUAUAAAGUCAUCUCAUUCUUCUUUUGAUAAAAGCAGUGCAACACGUCUUCCAUGAAAUAACGUUGAAGUUGAUAAUUAGACACUUUCUUUGAAACUCAUGAUCCUAUCAACCUCAUGUCUUUGCCUUUUCUCAUAAACCUUAAUUCUUUCACGCAAACAAUUCCCUUUUUAAUUCUUUGCUUUUGAACAAGUUUUUUUUGGCAAUAUUUCUCCACUAAAUGAUACUUUCUUCAUCAUCAUCUCUAGGCCAUGGCAAGCUUAAUGGUGGAGUCCACCACUAAAAUGCUAGACAUAUGGAGCAGUCUAGUUGGCACCGGCAUGCCUGAAAUCGAUGUGGAAAGCGAAAUUUCCCAUGCCGCCGGGGAGAUUAUCGCCAAGACCAGCUUUGGAAUAAGCUUUGAAAGUGGUAGGAAGGUGUUUGACAAAUUGAGAGCCAUGCAAAUCACUCUCUUCAAGUCCAACCGAUAUGUUGGUGUGCCUUUUAGCAAGCUAAUGUGCCCUAUACAAUCCCUAAAGGCGAAAAGGCUAGGGAAGGAGAUCGACGGUCUUCUUCUAUCGAUCAUAGCUGACAGGAAGAAAUCGAAUAGUACAGCUACUCAGCAGGACCUCCUAGGGCUAUUGCUCGCUGACAACCUCGUAGGUGGCCGCCUAGGGAAGAUGCUAACGGCUCGAGAACUGGUCGAUGAGUGCAAGACAUUCUUCUUCGGGGGGCAUGAGACCACGGCAUUGGCACUCACUUGGACAAUGCUACUUCUAGCCACUCAUCCAGAGUGGCAAACCCAGUUGAGAGAGGAGAUCAAAGAAGUAAUUGGAGAAGGAGAUCAGCUUGAUUUCACCAAGCUUGGUGGGCUAAAGAAGGUAAAGCAUGACUCAAUUACACUACCAUGCACGUUUGUUGCAUGUAUUGCUUGGUUUGAAUCGUAUAUUUCAAUUAUCAGUACCAAAAAUCUUGUGUCUAUUUGGAAUAUUCACGAGGAUAAUCAUGAAGUAUCCAUAUCCACGUAACAAGUAAAUGGCCUAAGGGUAGGCACGUGCCCUAAAAAAGCCACCCUCUAGAAGGGUUGUGCAUGCCCUAUCUUGUGCCAAAGUACCUUAACCUUGGUGGGCCUAAGGUGGCGCACCAAAAUAAGAGUAGAGCGCGUGGGUCGAACCCAACACAUGAUUUUCAUGCGAAUAAGACUCAGGCCUCUGAUACUGGGGUGGGAUAUACCUAACAUGGUUCCAGAUUGGCUAUAGCUUUAUAGAGUACCCCACACGCCCAGGGACACCUGGCAACACCCCAGAUGGUCUGAAUUGAUAGGCACCAUAGGCCACGGAGUUAUACUCUUUGUUCCUUUGUGGAUGGCCGGUCCCGUCCACAUCUUGAGCUGGUGCUGGGUUAAUUCCCCUAUUUCCCUAUCCUUUUCAGUGCCUUCAAUUACAUUUUAAAUCCAUAGAAUGUGGUGUCCCUUGACUAUAGCAUCUGGGACAGGCUUUUAGUGUGGGAGUGAAGAUCACAAAGCACUAGAUAAAUAUAUUACUUUUUGACCAAGUCUUUUAUUCGGCUCAUUAAUAUGCCAUCAUUUGAACUGAGGUAGAGAAAUAGCAUGUGUCUACCGCGUAUAGAAAUACUUGAGUACCCAUCAAGAGGAUAUGGUUUUGAUAGAGAAGUGUUUUCCUCAAAAACAAAAAGAAGAAAAAAAUUGUUUUGAAAAACAGUUACCCAUCAAAGCCCAUCUUAUUUUUCUCUAGAAUUGAUUCCAAAAAGGGAAGGGAGAAACAUAUGGGACAAACAAGUACAUAUAUAUCAUGCAACUACCACAUCCAUUUCUAAACCUUUUUCAUUUACAAUUGCAGAUGUCUUGGGUGAUGAAUGAAGUUCUACGCCUAUACUCCCCGGCCCCGAACGUACAGAGGCAAGUGAGGGAAGAUAUUCGCGUAGGCGACGUGACAGUCCUGAAUGGAACCAACAUGUGGAUCGACGUGGUAGCCAUGCACCAUGACCCAACUCUGUGGGGAGACGACGUUUAUGAAUUUAAGCCGGAGAGGUUCAAGGAUGAUCCCCUAUAUGGUGGUUGCAAGCACAAGAUGGGGUUUUUGCCGUUUGGAUUUGGAGGGAGAAUGUGUGUUGGUAGGAACUUGACUACAAUGGAGUACAAGGUCGUUCUAACCCUUAUUCUCACUAGGUUUUCCUUCUCCCUCUCCCCCACUUAUACCCAUGCUCCUGCAACUUUGCUGUCCCUUAGAACUUCCUUUGGUUUGCCUGUCCUCCUCCAACCUCUGUAGUUUGGAGUAGAAAAGCAGUUGUAUUUUGUUAAUUUUUAGCUUUUUAUUGUCUACUGUUAAUGUAGAUAUGAUAUGAUGUAAUUUAAUUUGUUUUUCUCAUUAAUUUGUAACGGAAAAUUGUUAAAUUUCGUGAAUAAAUUUCAAAUCGAAGUCAUCUAUAAAAUUUAGGCUCAAUAUUUAUAUCAUGCUCCUUAACACCCUCCCACGUGGAAAGACCAAUAACAAACAAAGACUUCCAAACAUGUAACGGGGAAACAAAGAUGACAAACAAAUGCACUUUCAAAUAUGCAAAUGAGGAAACAAAAAUGUGAAUAGUAAAGAGGUGACUCGAAUCCAUGACUUCCCGUCAAACCAAACUCUGAUAAUAUAUUGAAUUAUUAAUUUUCCUAAAAUCUUAAGUUUAUAGGAUUUAAACUCAAUAUACAUAUCAUACUCCUUGACAAAUCAAAUCCUUGAUGAGAAAGAAUACCAGUAAAACCCGCCAACUUCAAUUUAUUUAUUUAUUAUUAUAGGCUUAGAAGCAUUAUAAAUGAAGCCAAGGUAUAUCUUCCCAUACACGUGAAAUCAGGCUUCUCAACAUUUUCCUUGGACCAUUCUACUAAGCAAAAUUCCUCUUCAAAGCACGCAGGGCUUUAGUCUCUCACCUUCCCAAGAAUGUUGUUCAAAGCAACCAACCCAAUUUUCAAUACCUUAAAAUUCAAAAUUCAAGGAUCAACAAUUGACCGUGAGCCCAGUUGGUAGGAAAACUAACCCCAAGUCCCUCCACGGGGGUGGAUAGGUCAAAGCCAAUAUCUAGAUCGAUUUGUUGACCCACCCAUGGGUCUACAUGUAUUUUAGUUUUCUUUGAUUUUUUGACUAUUCAACUUUAUUUAAAGGAAAUUUGAUGCUUGAUAACAAACAAGUCGAUUUUGUACAAUUAAUUUACAAGUCCACAACUGCUCUUUGGCUACUGCUUGAGAGAAUUCAAUCCUGAGGCUGAAGGGAUCCUAAAAAUUGACAAAAAAAAAUAUAAAAAUAAAAAUAAAAGAAUAAUAGAGAAACGAUACAUUUAAAUAAAUAAUAAUAAUAAUAAUAUAAUAAUUUCUAUUUAAAAAAUAAAAAUUUUUAGAGGUUGUUUUUAAAAAAUGAUUAAGAAAAUUUUACUAUUGGAAAUUGUGAGAUCUUUUAAUCAAUUUUUGAAAUCAUAGACUAAUCUACAAUCUUUAUAUAAGAGUUUUUCCUUUUUCAAUAUGAGUUCUAUUUUUUAAAAUAAAAAGUAGAAUUUAUAUUCAAAUUUAUUGUUUUUUUAUUAUAAAUUAUAACAAUACUUAGACUGUAUUUGACAAUAUUUUUAUUUAAUUCACUUUUGAUAAAUAUCUUUAAAAAAAAUCACCUAUCACACAUUUCUUCAAAAAACAACACAAAUGACUUUUUAACUUUUUGAAAAUAUUUUCUACAUUUUGGAACAUUUAAUUUUCUUUAAAAAGCACUUUUUGGAAACUCUAUCAUUAAAAAAGGGGAAAAUUACUUCAGAUUCUGAAAGUUUCAAAAAUAACUUUCAAGAACAUAAAACAUUUCUAUAUCUUUCACAUGAGAGUUUCCACAUUUUAUAUAAAAAAAAACUUAAGUUUAAAAAACAAAAACCAGGAAAUGGUUCAUCAAAGAAAGCCUAAGUGCUUGUAUUUUUUAGAACAUCAAAAACACUAUUUACCAUUUCUUAAAGUAACUUAUUUCAAAAACAGCUUCCCAAGAAAACACACAACCUUACAUAUUUCCUAGAUAGUUUUUCUUCCCUUGUGUCUUAAGUCAAGAAAUAAGAAGAAAAAAAUGGUUGUAACCAUGAUUGAGCCAUCGACUCAUUUGAUAUUUGGUAAAACAGUUUCAUGGAAAGAAAAUAGAAGAAACUAACCAACCCUGAAUAUUCUCAAUUAUUGUAAAGCUCAUAUGCUUAAUCAGAACUGGCACAUGCCAAAUGUACAAAUCUGGCCUGUUCUCAUGUAAAAUUCAAUUUCCUCACCCUUAUUAAACAUGCCUGAAAGUACUGGUUUUUCAUAAUGUGAGGAUGAAGAUCAAUGCCAUGGAAAACAGAGGCAACUGCCAGGAGCUGAAGAUGAUCCUGGAUGCAUGGGUUGGUUGCUUCACUGAAAGGCCCAGUUUUCUUCCUGUGCUGCAGCUGCACUCUCCUAUUCCAGCCUUAGUUUCAGACAUCUGAGGAAAAAGACAAUGAUAAAGUACUUCGGAAAACAGUUGCUAAAAGUAAUCGACAAUUGAAGAAAGAACAUGAUGUUGUGAAGUAGAGCGAACCUUAAAAAAGGGGCAAGCUAGGUGGGAAUCGCACAAGCAUCCAUUGUCUCUCGUACGAUGCCAAAUGGGCCCAUCCAAUCUCAUCAAUCAACGACAGCUUCAGUUCAUACAGCUUCUUCUUUGGAGGCUCUCCGUUAUCUUGAAUCAUGUCUACUAGUACCUGAUCCAGAAAAUAGUCAUGUAAGAAUCAGAAAUUAUUUUUAAUAUGAAAUGUUUUUCGUGUAGAACUCAGGUCCUGGCAAAGAAGACAAGAUGUGAGACAUCAAGGUGUUACUGCAUCUCUUCUCAACGAAUGAUGAUAAUGGUGCUUAGUCCAUACUAUAGCCAUUAGAGUUCUAAUGAAAACCCUGAAAGAAGUCUGACGAUUCCCAUUGUUCUAAUGUCAUGUUGACAACUGACAGAUGAGGGUAAUGGAGAACAUGAGAUAGAAGAAGAAUACCUUCAGUGCUGUGCCGAGCCUGCCACAGCGUCUCUCACGCACCACCCAGAGGGUCCCAUAUUUAGAGGAUUUGAUGUCCACCCAUUUCUUUAGUUCUUUGAAGUUCUCCUCAAACAGAUCUGGUUGGGUAGAUUCAGGUGCAGAUUGAUCAUCAGUCUUGUCUACAUCUUUUGUGCCUUCAGCUGCAGCUGCUUCUGGAGCCUUCUCACCCUGCUAUACAAAAUACAUAUAAGCUCAGACAAUAGAAGUAGCAUCUGUAGCUUCAAAGGCAUGCAUUUCCAAUUCAUAAUUGAAAAAAAUAAAUAUUAAUGUGGCAUCAACAAUUGAGUCAUUCCCACAUGUUGGAUUAUAUAAAUAUUUGUCACAAACUUAAGAAUCUGAUUGCUUAGAGGAAACAUUUUUCCAUGGGAACAAUGCAAGAUACAGAAUCUUAGAAACACAUGUAGAUCUUUUAAUUGGCACAGCAGUUUCGAGACUGAUGCUUAAAUUCCAGUGAACACAUGCAGUUCCAUGCUUAUAAUCAUUAUCAGAAGGAAUCUAGAAAGUUAUCAGUAAAAGAACAAAAUUGUGGAAUUAAACAGUUAUCUCAUUUACAUAAAAGAGAAACAAUUCCUACUUUCAAAGAUUCAAUCUCUGCCAGUGCCAGUCCUUUUUGGUACAGUGCCUCAGCUAACUGGUCCCGAGUCGUCUCCAUCUUCUUUUUCAUUUUCUAUUAAUGAUAACAAUGAAAAAGAAAAUAUAAAAGGCCAAUUCUCCAGAAAGUAAACCACAAUUUAUGAGAACGUAUAAGGUAAGAAGCAAGGGGGCAAUGGGUUAAAAUAACAGUAUGACAGAGCAUCUGUCAUGUUCCAUUUGACAUGGAUGUAGAAUAACAUGCCAAGGUCUCAGUUAAGUUGCAAAGAAGUUUUUCUCAUUCAAUCUUCCCCAAAUUGGAAAAAUAUAAUUUUUCUUAGAGCAAGAAGAAAUAAAAAUAAAAUAAUAAAAAAGAAGUGGCAACAACAAAACGCACCUCUGCCUCCUCAUCUUCUGGAUCACUUUUGAGUGAAAAAUAUUUUGCUAAUUCAUCCCUGUCAAUGCUACAAACUACUUCAUUUGCUGCAUCUAUAACCUGAAGAAUGACACUUAGAAAUGAGAACCCAAAAAAAAAUGCUGAACAAAGAUGAACAAAGUUUCUAGAAUCUCUUUUUUUUGUUCAGUGGGGGGUGAAGAUCUUGAACUGCAUGUUCAGAAGGCACAUCAAAAGCAGACUGCUUACCAAGAAAUGUUUUACUAUAUAUAUGUAACUUGAGUGGAUUAUGGUUUCCAGAGUCAUGAUGCCACUUUCAGUUGACAAUAUGAACUCUUUCAGAUGGUAUAUGGAAGCCACACAAGUGAUAUUAAAUAAGGGCAAAUCAAAACAUAGUAGCUCCAGCAUGCACAUUAUUGACAGUAGAAGUGUGGCACCCCAGGAGUAGCUCAAUGAUAGUAACCUCUGGAAAUGAAUCAGAGAUCCUUAGCUAAAGCCUCCUCAAUAUUUAAGUGGUGGGGGGCCUGUGCUGGGGUUGGAGGUAUGAUUGACCGCAGAAGUAUGUGGUCAUGGCAUCUAGACGUGAGAUUCAAAUAUCAAAACUACUUGGAUCCCCAUCUAUGAAUUCCAUUUGUAUUAAAGCGCAUAAAAGCAGCCACAUUGAUAUCACCCUGCUAGUUGGAAUACCAUCAGACCACAUUCAUAUCAACUAUACGAUUGCAAUACAACAUACCUCUUCAUCAUGGCAAAUUUUGUCUUCAGCAUUACUCUCAGAAACCAAACCUUCCAAAAUCUUAGCGAGCAAUGGAGUGUAUUUUGGAUAUUCAGACUGCUCAAGAGAAGAAUGAUGCACAAAGAAUUUAGUGACUGAAAUAAGCUAUGAAAAUCACAACACGAAACUCUCUUAUAAAAUCCAAAUGCAAGAAGUUCAUGAAGCAAAAUAUUCCAAAAAUAUCAUAAAACAGAAUCCUAGAGACAGAUAUUAUGAUUAAAAUUCUGGAAAGUAAAGUCAUAUUGGAAAGUAAAGCAGAAUCUGAGGCAACCCCAGAACUACCAGUUCAAAACAAAUCAUGCCAAGUUGUGUAUGGUCUAGGUUAUUUAUAAACGGUCUAGGUUAUUUAUAAACUCAAGCCUAAUCCUGAGGUCAUUGAAGGUGAUAAAUUCAAGUUUCCAGACAAUCUGGACUGGACCUGAACUGGAAUGCAGGCUGACACAGCUAUAGCCCUUUUGAGUUUAAAAACCUUUGAAUGUAGAAUAUGUAAAAAAUGAUUUUUCACAAUAAUAUAUGGAAGAUAUUAAAAGAAUGAAUGUGUUUCAUAUCAUAAUACUAGACUUUUUCCUCAGAACAAUAGCAAAAUAAGUUUUGACCUUGAGAGAGGCAGCUAACUUUCUCCACUCUGAGCGCUCUUCAUCAGUGCCAUGUUUUAGGCUUCCAAGAAUCUUUAUCUUUGCAUCACGAACCUGAUUGAUCAGUUAGUAAUAGAAUUAGCUGAGAUCUAAGAGAUUAACAACUGAAAAUCUCAGUAUCAUCUAGGCAGGGAACAAAUGAUUUGCUGUAAAAAACACAAAAGUGAUAAAGAAAAGGGAUUCAGCACAGGAAUAGGCAACUGCUUCAAAAAACUAUAAUAUGAAUAAUAGAGAUGUGCCUAUACUUUGAUUAGUGCUACUGCAACCCAUAUGAUUAGAAAUAAUAUAAUAUUAUGACAUGCAGAGACUGUCCAACACUAACAGCACCUUCUUUGAGUUCUCUGGUACUUGAGAACCAACUAGUUGAAAUAAUGCUAACUGUACCAUGCAAUAAAAAAUUUGAGGACUGAAAAAUAUGAAUUAAAUAUGAUCUUGCAUAAUGACAUAAUUAGAACUGUUUCUUUUUCCUAUAAAGGCUUCUACAGGUCUCUCCUAGAUGGAGCCUGGCCUGGUAUCUGUCCAUCUCCCCCAACCCUUUGCCACUUGAGCCAAAUUCAAACCCUUUCCAUAUUUUACCCUUCUUUUUUGCCUUUUUUUAGUUCUUCAUCCUUCUACUCGUUGUUAUCCUAAGGGACUCCUGUCCAGUUUCCAGAUAAAGAGGUUAGGGUCCGGGGUCUCCCCUCAAAGUAUGCUUUUUUGUUCUGAAAGCAGUUUGAGAGAAAAUUCUAAUGGAUGAUUUGCUUAUGAUGAGAGGGUGGUCCUUGGUAAAGAAACGCUCUUUAUGUAAAAUAGAGGACCAAUCUGCAAACCAUAUUCUCCUUCAUUGUAGUUAGGCUUGUUUACCCUAUGAUCUCUUACUCUUCUUAUUUGGGAUUAAGUGGAGGUUUUUGAGUCAGUUACAGAGCUGCUUUGCAGUUGGCAUAGUAGCAGGUUGGCAAGCAGUAUAGCAAGACAUGGAAGUUAGACCUACUUUGUUUAUUCUAGUGUAUUUGGAUACAGCACAAUAGCAGAUUCUUGGAAAAGGAAGAAUCAUAUUAAGCGCUAUAAGUGUUCCUUAUUAUUAUUAUUUUCAGUAUUUUAGGGUUAUUUUUGGAAUUUCAAUCUUCAAUUUUUUUAUUUUAUUGAUGGAAUUGGGUACAAUGGUAGUUGGAUGUCAGCCCUUCUCUUUCUUUCUAUUUUGCCUUCUGGCAUUCCCUGUAUAUUUCCAGUAAACUUGCAAUGAACCACCUUUCUGUUAGGCACUUUAUAAUUAAAAUUUUUACUCAUCUAUCAAUAAGAAAAUGACAGAAGAAACUCCAAUAUUUCUAAGGGGCUCACAAAAAGAGUAUCUGCCUGUUACCAUCAUGUACAACUUCUAUUACUGAAAAAAAAAAAAGGUAACCACAGGAGAAAAAUGAACCUGAACCUUUGCCAUCAGCAAGGUAUUGUAUGCAACUCAUAAUGAGUCCUAUGGUUUUCAUUAGCUGAUGACCGAACACCAACAGCAUUUUUUCAACAGUGCUUGAAACAGAAAGCCAAUAAAAGAUAGCAAACAAAGAGGAAUCAGCAUGCAGAAGGUCCUUCAGCAAACUAACAGAACAUUCCAAAUAUAACCCCUAUAAGAAUGUGGCAUUUGGAGUUAGCAUACUGAUAUAUUGCAAAAUCCUCACAUUAAUGGGUUUUCUAAAAAUUGGAUCCUUAAGCACUAGGACUGACUAGGUGUAAGCCCCUCCAUAAUCUAUAAACCUAAGGCCACUCAGGGCAAGAACACAAGUGGAUUCAUGAACAGAGAAAACUGCAGGCAUAUACAAAAAGAGCAAUAGCAAACUCAUCUAUUCACAAACUAAUGGCCCAUGCAUUAUAAGGAAUAAGUUACUCCUAAAGUACCUCUUCUUCUAAACGUUCUGACACACUUUUGGUGCAAGAUGGAGAAGAACCUUUUCCUUUUUCCUCGUCAACCUGUCAAAGGGGUAAAAUGGAAAUAACUUGAACAAAUAUGGAUUUCCAACUGAAAGCAUAAGAAGAACCAAUGACAGAUGGAGCAUAAGGCAGCAAUUGCAUUUUCUGCAACAUUGUUUUGUUAGAGAAUUAUGAAAUGACUUAACUAGAAGGCACAAACAUAAAGAAAAAAACAAGAAAACAACCUUGUUUGGUGGCACUAGAUAAGAUAUCUGAUAAGACACGGGAUUCUUUUUUGGAUUCUUUCCCCCUUCCUCACCCCCAAAUGAUAGUACCCCAUAUGAGAUAGCUCCAAGCAGUACAGAUCCUUCAGAAAUGUUCUGUGGAAAUUGACAACAAUUUUAAAACAAGCAUUUUACCAGCAUAAGCAACUUCUUAAAAUGUAAUACCUUUGGGAGCUUGUCUUUGUUAGGUGGGCCAACAUAAAAGGAUUCUUUUACUCUGCAGAAGGAGAUAGUUAAGUACAUAUAUGAAUGAUAUGAACAGAUGGUCCUAUGAAGUAAGUUAUAAAGACGAACUAUUUGGCCACAAAACAUACCCUGGAACUAAAACUGAGGUCUUAAAAGCACCAUUUCCCAUAAUUGGGCCAUCUGGUUGAGAGAAAAAGCUCAAUCGAACAGCUUCCUGAAUUAAAAAGAAAUCACCAGGGCAUUUCAUAUAACAAUAACACAUUGAAACCAUGUUCAUAACAAAAUAAAACAUAAAUUUGUACCCAUCAACAUUAUAUCAUUAAAUAAAUCUAUCACACUAGUACAUAAUCAUCAUAUACUGGAAGAAAUAUACGUUAGCCAAAAAAAGGUCCUAAAGAAGUAACAAAUAACAGCAUUGCAAAUUUCAGAACUAUGAUGUAAAAGAAGCAAAUUUAUAAGAUUGCAGCUAAUCUUCAUAAAGACAUCACAGAUCACUUUUGCUUGGAAUACAUUUUGUGUAUGAUUUCAUUCAUGUAAAGUAGGUUUAGAGGCCCUUAAAAAGUGAUCUCUGAUGUCUUUGAACAAGUUCAAUUUGAUUCUUCCAUCCACAAUCACUAGGUGAUUGUAUGGUUACACAGUAACUGGAAAUCAGUAUCAUACAUUAGUACAUGACCAGGUUCUGUUGUGUUAUGUAGAUUAGGAUAGCAGUGCCAUACUGCCACAUUUGCACAACACCAACCCCUCCCCCAAACACCCACACAAAGAGACAGAUAAAGGCAUAAAUAUCUGAUACAGUUCUUUCUAUUUCCAUCCUCAUCAGCAUAUAAAACCCUAUUUCGGAUCUUUCAUUCCUAGUUUUUUGAAGCCACAGACAAGACAGGCACAGGAGAAUAGAAGUGAAAAUAACCCCAUAAAAAACCUUCCAAGAAGAUCCUUUAGCAAUAUUAAAGGAAAGUGGUGAUGUAGACUAAACUAAUACCCAAAUGGAAUGCAGUGAAACUAACAUAAAAGUUUGGCUACAACUAAAACCUCAAGAUGAUGAUUCAAAAAACAUCAAUUCUAGAAUGCUGAGUAGAAGAUAAGUCUCAGAAGUAGCUGUGAAGCACUUUGUAUUCAUAUGGCCUUCUGCAAUUACCAAUACACAUGGAAGUGCAGCAGAUCAUGAGAAGCAGGAAGUGGAUUUAUGUAUUUGUGUAAUGAAAAUAAGCAAAUACAGGUUAAAAAUCAUUCACAUUAUUCAACAGUAAAUGGGGAGCUCAGCAUACAACUGAUCUUGCACGUGCUUUCAACUAAACCACAAAUAUGAGAAGGAUCAAAUCCAACAAAACAAGCAUUUACUUUGUAAGUAUAAAAGAUGAUAUGUUAAUUACUGACAGAAAAGGUGAAAGUAGUUGGUUGGACCAUGAUAACAAAGCAUAUGCUAACUGUGGCAACCAUUAUACAAUCCAAGUUGAUCCAUAAUGAACUCGAUUACCUUAUCUUCCACAUUUCUUUCAAUAAACAACAGCAAUUGCUUCAUUUUCUCCAGGAACAGCACAUUGUCAUGCCUAAAACAUGAUAAGCACCAUAAGAGGAAGGAACCAGAGGUUAAAAGUCACAUUUUAGCAAAAGUUUAAGCCAAUUCAAAAGGUUUCCCAACUUAAUACCAAAUUUUUAAUCCUAGUUCAAAAGUUUUCCCUAUCAGAUCGUACCCAGGACGAUGACAGUUCAUGAUGUAAGUCCAUGUAUUCAGGUAAUUAGCAGUUUCAAAAAUUAAACUUCUUUUCAUUCCCAAAAUGGAAGUAAUUAUACCAAAUCUAUGUUGUAAACCUUGAGAUAAGAUAGAUAUAUGUACAUAAAUUGAGAGAACAUAAAGUCAACAAGCUCAGGAUAGAGAAUCAGGAUAGAAAGUAGCUCAUACCUCAGAUGUAGCAGCAAAUUGUAUUCACCCUUGGGAAGUUUUGAAGAAUUUGGAUAGACAUCACCAAUUGCAUAUACACGCUAUAUUUGGAAAGGGAAAACAAAAUAAAAAGAAAUGGGAAUCAGCUCGUCAAAUAUUAAAAACUCAAAUGUGAUAAUUUUAUGAUUAUUGAUUGGUGAAAGCAUUUUCACUAAAAGCGAAAGCACCUUCCCUUAUGCCUGUCAUAGAUAAGAAAUAUGUGCAGGCCAAUUAGUGUCCUAAAAUAUGUAGAAUAAAAUAAAUGGGUUAAAAAUAAAAGUCAUACAAAGAAGUUUCACUACAGAUGGCAAUUAUGCAGAGCCUGGUUUCACAGAGAGUCACUCAUAGAUUGGUUACACUACCAGGUAACUCGGUAGUUUAAGUUAUUAUGUAAAGGACCUGUCUCAAGGAUAAGUUUCUUUGGUUUGCAUAUGGGCUCAAUAAAUG